CCAGUUCGGAUAAGAGGCUGAAACUCGCCUCUUUGAAGUCGGAAUCGCUAGUAAUCGCAGAUCAGCAUGUUGCGGUGAAUACGUUUCCUGGUCUUGUACACACCGCCCGUCAAACCAUGAGAGUCGCUAACACCCGAAGUCCGCUUUGCGGCCUAAGGUGGGGGAGAUGAUUGGGGUUAAGUCGUAACAAGGUACC
rnacentral:rRNA from 1 species